CAUUUACAAUCGUUUGUUCAACACUAAAAAUGCGUGUCGAGUUUUUAAUAAUUGUUGUAUUAAGUUAUGUGUCUUCAAAUGAAGGUACUGCCUGCUUAAAGCCCGAAGAAGUAACAGAAACAGGCAGAGGAAUCGGUCAACGUAUACACGGUUUCGGACACCCGUUUCCCGAAAUGAAAAGAUACUUGAGUGAUCGAAGGACUCUGCUUAAUCUGUCAAAGACUGUAGAUCAGAAUUUUUGAAAGGAUUUGCAAUUGGUGUAGGAGGACGACAUACAUACCAAUACGAUAUGUUUUCUCCACUAGUUGAUGUAUGGUUUAACAAGAAUGGCGAAGCAUUUCAACCAUACUGGCAAUUUGCUGACUUUAGUGGAUAUUAGUGUUUUGACUUUUAACUAAAUUAUUUUGUUUGCACGAAUAAAUAACGGUUUA